AUUGAACGCUGGCGGAAUGCUUUACACAUGCAAGUCGAGCGGCAGCGCGGGGGCAACCCUGGCGGCGAGCGGCGAACGGGUGAGUAACAUAUCGGAACGUACCCAGUAAUGGGGGAUAACUACCCGAAAGGGUAGCUAAUACCGCAUACGCCCUGAGGGGGAAAGCGGGGGAUCGCAAGACCUCGCGUUAUUGGAGCGGCCGAUAUCGGAUUAGCUAGUUGGUGGGGUAAAGGCCCACCAAGGCGACGAUCCGUAGCGGGUCUGAGAGGACGACCCGCCACACUGGAACUGAGACACGGUCCAGACUCCUACGGGAGGCAGCAGUGGGGAAUUUUGGACAAUGGGGGCAACCCUGAUCCAGCCAUUCCGCGUGAGUGAAGAAGGCCUUCGGGUUGUAAAGCUCUUUCGGCAGGAACGAAACGGCGGGCUCUAACAUAGCCUGUCACUGACGGUACCUGAAGAAGAAGCACCGGCUAACUACGUG
rnacentral:rRNA from 1 species